UACAGAGGUGGCAAGCGUUGUUCGGAAUUACUGGGCGUAAAGGGCGCGUAGGCGGCCUUCUAAGUCAGACGUGAAAUCCCCCGGCUUAACCUGGGAACUGCGUCUGAUACUGGGAGGCUUGAGUAUGGGAGAGGGAUGCGGAAUUCCAGGUGUAGCGGUGAAAUGCGUAGAUAUCUGGAGGAACACCGGUGGCGAAGGCGGCAUCCUGGACCGACACUGACACUGAGGAGCGAAAGCCAGGGGAGCAAACGGG
rnacentral:rRNA from 1 species